AGAGUUUGAUUCUGGCUCAGAACGAACGCUGGCGGCGUGGAUAAGACAUGCAAGUCGAACGAGAGAAUUGCUAGCUUGCUAAUAAUUCUCUAGUGGCGCACGGGUGAGUAACACGUGAGUAACCUGCCCCCGAGAGCGGGAUAGCCCUGGGAAACUGGGAUUAAUACCGCAUAGUAUCGAAAGAUUAAAGCAGCAAUGCGCUUGGGGAUGGGCUCGCGGCCUAUUAGUUAGUUGGUGAGGUAACGGCUCACCAAGGCGAUGACGGGUAGCCGGUCUGAGAGGAUGUCCGGCCACACUGGAACUGAGACACGGUCCAGACACCUACGGGUGGCAGCAGUCGAGAAUCAUUCACAAUGGGGGAAACCCUGAUGGUGCGACGCCGCGUGGGGGAAUGAAGGUCUUCGGAUUGUAAACCCCUGUCAUGUGGGAGCAAAUUAAAAAGAUAGUACCACAAGAGGAAGAGACGGCUAACUCUGUGCCAGCAGCCGCGGUAAUACAGAGGUCUCAAGCGUUGUUCGGAAUCACUGGGCGUAAAGCGUGCGUAGGCUGUUUCGUAAGUCGUGUGUGAAAGGCGCGGGCUCAACCCGCGGACGGCACAUGAUACUGCGAGACUAGAGUAAUGGAGGGGGAACCGGAAUUCUCGGUGUAGCAGUGAAAUGCGUAGAUAUCGAGAGGAACACUCGUGGCGAAGGCGGGUUCCUGGACAUUAACUGACGCUGAGGCACGAAGGCCAGGGGAGCGAAAGGGAUUAGAUACCCCUGUAGUCCUGGCAGUAAACGGUGCACGCUUGGUGUGCGGGGAAUCGACCCCCUGCGUGCCGGAGCUAACGCGUUAAGCGUGCCGCCUGGGGAGUACGGUCGCAAGAUUAAAACUCAAAGAAAUUGACGGGGACCCGCACAAGCGGUGGAGUAUGUGGCUUAAUUCGAUGCAACGCGAAGAACCUUACCUGGGCUUGACAUGUAAUGAACAACAUGUGAAAGCAUGCGACUCUUCGGAGGCGUUACACAGGUGCUGCAUGGCCGUCGUCAGCUCGUGUCGUGAGAUGUUUGGUUAAGUCCAGCAACGAGCGCAACCCCUGUUGCCAGUUACCAGCACGUGAAGGUGGGGACUCUGGCGAGACUGCCCAGAUCAACUGGGAGGAAGGUGGGGACGACGUCAGGUCAGUAUGGCCCUUAUGCCCAGGGCUGCACACGUACUACAAUGCCCAGUACAGAGGGGGCCGAAGCCGCGAGGCGGAGGAAAUCCUAAAAACUGGGCCCAGUUCGGACUGUAGGCUGCAACCCGCCUACACGAAGCCGGAAUCGCUAGUAAUGGCGCAUCAGCUACGGCGCCGUGAAUACGUUCCCGGGUCUUGUACACACCGCCCGUCACAUCAUGGAAGCCGGUCGCACCCGAAGUAUCUGAAGCCAACCGCAAGGAGGCAGGGUCCUAAGGUGAGACUGGUAACUGGGAUGAAGUCGUAACAAGGUAGCCGUAGGAGAACCUGCGG
rnacentral:rRNA from 1 species